rnacentral:rRNA from 1 species
GACGAACGCUGGCGGCGUGCUUAACACAUGCAAGUCGAACGGAAAGGCCCUGCUUUUGUGGGGUGCUCGAGUGGCGAACGGGUGAGUAACACGUGAGUAACCUGCCCUUGACUUUGGGAUAACUUCAGGAAACUGGGGCUAAUACCGGAUAGGAGCUCCUGCUGCAUGGUGGGGGUUGGAAAGUUUCGGCGGUUGGGGAUGGACUCGCGGCUUAUCAGCUUGUUGGUGGGGUAGUGGCUUACCAAGGCUUUGACGGGUAGCCGGCCUGAGAGGGUGACCGGCCACAUUGGGACUGAGAUACGGCCCAGACGCCUACGGGAGGCAACAGUGGGGAAUAUUGCACAAUGGGCGGGAGCCUGAUGCAGCAACGCCGCGUGCGGGAUGACGGCCUUCGGGUUGUAAACCGCUUUCGCCUGUGACGAAGCGUGAGUGACGGUAAUGGGUAAAGAAGCACCGGCUAACUACGUG